GUUUUUGUGGUGUAUUUUGCACAAAAAAUUUUCAAUUUUUAGGAAUAAAUUUUUAUCAAAAAUU
rnacentral:tRNA from 1 species